GACAGAGGCCCCAAGCGUUAGGCGGAAUCACUGGGCUUAAAGCGUGUGUAGGCGGACCUGUAAGUAUCUUGUGAAAUCCCACGGCUCACCCGUGGAACUGCUGGAUAUACUGCGGGUCUUGAGUCGUGCAGGGGCAGCCGGAACAAGCGGUGGAGCGGUGAAAUGCGUAGAUAUCGCUUGGAACGCCGAAGGCGAAAGCAGGC
rnacentral:rRNA from 1 species